GGUCUGGCAUGGCCUGCUGCCUGCGUUAGCAUUAGCAUUAGCCGAACUCCAACGAGCAAUCGAAGAGCCGCUGCUGCCAUUAGAGGUCAGCGGAGAGCGGGUCUUGGGUAAAGGACUCACCUGGAAUCAAGUGCAACAAAAUAUCUGGAAAGACACAAAAGGCUUCACAGCAGGAUUGUGCAGUUGCCCCUGGAUGGAAUAUGGAAUCCACAUGGCAGACCACCCAUGUGAGCAAAAUCAAGCCCACCUCAGACACCAGAGCAUCUGCAGGGUGGUCACCAUGGAUAAGCAAGAAACCUCAUUCAGACAAGAGAGAGAGAGAGGGGACGGGGGAGAGAGCAAGGAUUUUCAAUGGAUGAAGUGGCAAACACACAGGCAGCAGCAGCAGCAGCAGCAGCCCAGAGGUCGUAAUGACAUCUUCCAGUAAAAAUGACAGCUACCAGGAUUUCCUUGCUCUUUCCGAGCAGCACAGGGGAGUAGCACAAGGUUCUACCACCAACUUUCAUCUGGAAACCCUCCCUUUCUUCCUCCCUCUUCCCGCUGCACUCAGGCUGUUGACUCAGCUCUACUGGUUCUGCUAUCAAUUUACUGGCCUGUCAGACCAGAAGGCCCCCAGUUUACCGUAACACACCCCCCUCUUCUGGUCAACAUGAACAGCUUAAAAUGGGAGUACUGCCAGGAGAAUGACAGAAAAAGAGAGGGGGGAGGUUAGAUUUAUGGGAGAAUGUUGGGCUUUAAUAUCCCAAUAGAAUACAAUCAUGAAACAUUGAGCAGGACACAGCCUCAACUCAAACCCCAGACCUCCAAAAAAACCUCUGAGGAACUCUUUUGGUACAUAAGGCACUGUGACAUCUCUGUGGCAGUUUUGGAAUAACGUCACUCCUCAGUCACAGACGAAGAUCAGAGGAGCGUCUGACCCUUUACUAAGCCUUCUAAGCUGCCAUCAUACCUGUCUGUCAACUCCACCCUCAGGUGUUUUCUCUAUAGUGGCUGUCGUCACACCUGGUAUGGCAACAAAGUUUUCCAGACAGGGACUGUGCAGCCUAACAGCACAAAAAAGUACCCGGGCAGGAGAAACUGGAGAAGGGAACCCAUUCCCACCUGGUGGAAACAUGCAAACUACAUACUAAAAGACCAUCAGAGACCACCAGGGCUCCAACCAACGCUUUCAGUUAAGGCAAGAGCACUAACCACUCUUACACAAUGUUGCCCCCAAAAGAAGUACUUACUCAAAUAUAUAGAACCACAUCCUAAAGUUACCAACAGCAUAUGGGUUUAUAUGGCAUCAAUGGUGUUGUUUGAGUGCUGUAUACAGCUCUACGGUACCCCACUGAGGCCCACAGCCUAAAACAAUGACACGCAAUGUUGUGUCUUUACUUACAAAAACAUAAAAGAGAAAUCUUAUGUUUCUUGUCUAAAAUGCAAUGCAACAGAGCUGUGCUGUUUUAAUUGCUCAUGAACCAGAGUCAGAGGUUGUGUGUGCGUGCAGUGUGCAUGUCUGUGUGCGUGACUGAGGUGAUUUGGCAUUUUGGUUAACAAGCGUAGUUAAACACAUGGGCUGUUGUGCACAUCUGUUAAUAGGCACUUAGUGCUAAUAUACAACUUAUUCCAGAAGCAAAUGGUACUCUGCAUUUUAACAUGUAUAAUUUCAGCUAAUUGUUAGAAAUAUUAUUGCAAUUAGCAAUAAUAAAAAAAAGAACAACAAAAAGUGAUUGAAAAAAACCCCUAAAGUGUUAAAGUGUAAAGUGUUAUUUAAAUAAGCAGAAUAAGUAAAGCAACAUGUCAAAAGCUAAAACUUAACUAACCCUGCAAGUAUGGAUGUGGAUCCAUACAGGGUGUGGAUGAUAUCUUUGUAAGAGUGUUGGAUGAAGAGCAACAAACAAACGCUACCACACAAAAGUUAGAUGGCACAUAUUGGCAUUAAACCUUGGCGUAAUUUCUAUGAUAAGUAUAUGUUUAUGUAUAUGUGUACAUAUAUGCUCACGCAAUGCAGUGUAUGUCUGUA